rnacentral:lncRNA from 1 species
GUUUGGCCAAUAAAAGACCCGACAGGAUUUAAGGUUUAAUAGUAAAAGAAGCCAUUUAUUAACACAAAGUUGAAAGAAAGCAGGCAAGGUGGAAUUUCUAAAUAUAAGCUUCAAUGACAGAUUGAACAGCAUGAAUGGGUUUUACAUCGAUUCUGGUGAAUCCAGCCUCUCCAAGAACAUACGUCCAUUCCUUUAAGGUCCUUUCUUUGCCUUUGUUCGUAUGUGUCAUCAUCACCAUGUCCAACAUCAACCCCACAAAUUCUAGCUUGUCAUUUUCAUCUUCUUCAAGCACAGAUUCAACAAUUAUGACCUUCCCUUUGUCUUGUGGGAUGGCUUCUCUACAUUUCUUUAGGAUUUGUAUGCAUUCCUCAUCACCCCAGUCAUGCAACACCCACUGCAAUUCACAAAUAGAUAGAUUUGUCAUACUCAAAUGUAAUUGGUAAAGGAAACAAAGUUUUCAUUACUAACCAUAAAGAAAGCAGCGUCUGCCUUUGGGACGCACUCGAACAUGUCCCCUCCAACGUAUUCGAUGCCAUCGACUUUUGGGGCAACGGCAACAACACGGGGAAGAUCGAAGUCGAUGCCAUGAAUCCAAGGGAAUGCCUUUACCAACAUAGAUAAAGCAGUCCCAUUGCCUCCACCAACAUCAACCAAACUUUUAAUACCGUCAAACACUUGAGGACAUCCUUCGAUUAUGGCCCGCACUGCCACUCUAGCAUCACAAGCCAUUGCUUCGUCUAUGAGUUUGCUAUGUCCAGGGUUCUCCUCUGCAUAGCUCCAUACAUCCUUUCCGUGUGCUGUCUCAAACGGUGAAUUCCCACUGUCAAGGACACGAGCACUUAGACUAUGCCAUGGUGCUAACGUAACAGGGCUGCUCUGUAGUAGAAUCAUAGCCGCCAUGCUCCUUUCGCCAUGUCGACUCAAUCGACGAGACAAAGGCGUCAGUGCAAAACCAAUGGAAUCUUUAGUUAUGGGCUCCUCUUUGAAUAUUUGGUAGUGGACCAAGAACCUCAUAAUACGAUAAAGACGAGAUGGUUGACACUUGAGGGUAGUGGUUAGCUGAGAGAGUGUCAUGGGGCUUCCAUGCUUGUCAAUUGCAUCAGCAAUCCCAAGCUCAAUGGCACAUUUAACUACUGCUAUCUUAGCAUAACCAAAUACAUAAUUCCAAAUCUCUACUUCUGCUUUCUCAUCUUCAUCUUCUUUCUUUCCUCUCACUUUUAUAUCCCCCAUCUCAGUGCUUCUCUCUUUGAAAACUUGGAAAACCCCAAACCGAAAUCUUGAUGGACAAAGCCUUUGUUGAAGCUCCAUUAUAUAGGGGCAAUAAAUCAUUUCUAACAAGGAUAAAUUUAGAUUUCCUAUAAAAUGCUUUUGGUAAUAUAAUAUUUUCUUUAAGAUCUUAUAAGAUCUAAUGACGGGCCAUUACUUGCCAUUAUAUAUAAAGAAUUGUCGAGUUUACUAUCGUUUUGUGAUAAUCAUAAUUCACACGUUGGAAUAUUACUGUCUAUUACCCCCACACACAUUAAUGGUUAAAUAAAUGGAUUAUAAAAACAGUCAUGUUUAUGAUGUGUUAAUGCAACUGCCUGUUUCUCCGAAUGUUAAAUGUGGGAUUUAGUGUAUUACACCUUAACCUUAUAUGCCUUUGCUUUUUGUUGAAUACAUUUCACUUAUUUUAUCUUUUUUCAUUCUCAAAAGAUUCAAAUCCAAGUAAAAAUGCUAAAAGUCAAGAAAAAAAAUCUGAUUUGUCAUUAUCUUAUUAAAAAUAAAUAGGAAUGAGGUAGAAAAUUAUUAUUUUCAGGGUUGAUUCAUUAGACAAUGUCCGUACUAUCUGCUAAUAUUACGGGGGUACAGCAUGGCUAAAGUAUAGAGAUGAAAUUAAAACUUUUAGUUAUCAAUGUUAACCACUGUUUGAAAAUUGAUAGAAGUGUUGAUCGGGAUUUUUUUAUUGGUCUAAUAACAAAUUUAGUUUUCUAAUGUUUACAUAUUCUAUCAAUUUAAAAAUAAAUUUAAUAAAUUUAGCUCUCAAUAUUUACAAAAAAAUAUUAUUUUAGUUCAAAUUCUAAAAAGUUCAAUGAAUUUAGCCCUUAAUAUUUACAAAAUGACAAAUUUUAUGUCUUUUUUAGCCAUUGAACUAACAUCGUUUGUCAAAGCACCCCUAAAUAAAUGGAAAAAUUAAUAUUUGUUAAUUUUGCUAAUGUGACAAUCCACGUACAUGCCACGCCAUCAAUUAUUUAAAAAAUAAAAAAAACUUUAAAAAUGUAGAAACAUAUAGAAAAUUAUUUAAAAAUUCAAAAAAUAUUUAAAAUUCACAUAUAUAAAUUAUUAAAAGGGUAAAUUACCAAAAUAGUCAUUUAUGUUUAUAAUAUUACGUUUUAGUCACUUACAUUAUCGUGUUGUAACAUUUUAGUCACUGAGUCGUUAAUUAACGUUAACGAUGUCACGGUAAGCUGACGUGACACAUUAAAUCAUCAUUUCAAACAAAAAUUUUAGAUUAAAUUUUACAAUUGAUCCCUAUAUUUUUUCAUUUUGAGCAAUUUAAUUUUUUCUUUUAUGUUAUUUUAAUUUUUUUUUCCAUUCUCUUCGCUUCUCCCUUUGUUUUCCUCCCUUUUUCAAUUCUUUUAACGCAACUUUUCUACGUUUUCUAUUUGUUAAAACUAGUUCACAAGCUCACCUCACUCGAAAAAAAUUAAAUUGUUCAAAAAAAUAAAAGUAUAGGGACUAGUUUUUAACAAAUGGAAAACAUAAAAAAAUUAUGUUAAAAGAAAUGGAGAACGGAGGAAAACAGAGGGAGAAGUAGAAGAGAAUGAAAAAUAAAGGAAAAAAAAGGAAAGUUAAAAUAAUAUAAAAGGAAAAAAUUAAAUUGUUCAAAACGAAAAAAAAUGGGGAUUGAUUGUAUAAAUUAACCUAAAAUUUUUGUUUGAAAUGAUGAUUUAACGUGCGAUGUCAGCUUACAGUUACCCCGUUAACGAAAAUUAACGGCUUUGUGUCUAGAACGUAAUAUUUCAAACAUAAGCGACUAAAAUAUAACCUGAGGAAAACAAAAGUGACUAUUUUGAUAGUUUGCCAUUAUUAAAAUUAACAUUGAUUAACUUACUUUAAUUACUAUUAAUCAUAUGAGUGGAAAGUUUCAUCAUCUUCCGUUAUCUCAUAAUGCAAAAUGGUAAAUUGUCAUUUUGGACCUUGCAAUUUAAGACUCUAAAUCUUUGGCUAAUUAAAAAUCUGUAGCGAGAAUCAUUGUAGCUUAAUUAAGCAAUUAAUAGAAAAAAUUGAAGGACCAAACUUUAAUAUUCUUUUAUACUUACGGAAAUGGGAUUCCGAAAUUAUAUUUUUCGACGCCAUUAACUGUUAAGUCAUUACAGGUAGGGUAUAUAAAAUAUACAUUAUAUUUUUCUUGCAAAAAUAUAAUAAUUAAUAAUGGUAAGGUGGUGGUAAAUCUUACCUAGGUUCCUGCCCUUUGUCAUGUUGGACAGGAAACUGUUAAUUUUAUUUUUCCCUUGAUAGACACUGAAACCUGAAAGUGGAAAAACUUGUGAACUAAGUCACUGAAUUUUUCUGCAAUAACUUUUCAGCCACUUAUUUCUAGAUUUUAUCAACAUUCAUAACAAUUCCGUUAACGCAUUUGUAACUGCAAUCUUUCACGCAACCUAAUUGGUUGGGCCAAUUGAAAACACAUCAGGAUCUAAGAUUUUAUAGUUAAACAACCCCAUGAUUACCACAAAUUAAAGAAAGCAGGCAAAUAGGGAGUUUCUAAGGAUAAGCUUCAAUGACAGAUUGUAUUGCAUGAAUAGGUUCUACAUUGAAUCUGGUGAACCCUGCCUCUCCAAUAACAUACUUCCAUUCCUUCAAUGUCCUUUCUUUGCCUUUCCAUGUCUAAUAUCAACCUCACGAAAUCUAGCUGCUCUCUUUUUAUCUUCUUCCACCACCGCUUGAACUAUUAUAACCUCCCCUUUGUCUCCCGGGAUAGCUUCUCUACAUAUCUUUAGGAUUUUUAUGCAUUCCUCAUCAUCCCAGUCAUGUUACACCUUCUGCAAUUCACGAACAUACAUAUAUUUACGUUCUUAAAAGAGUGGGUUUGGUGGUAUAUUGUGGUGCUGAACCGAAGGAACCAAAUUUUUCAUUACUAACCAUUAAGAAAGCAGUGCCUGCCUUUGGGACACACUCGAACAUGUCUCCUUCUAUGUUUUCAACGCCAUCGACUUUCGCUCCAACAGCCACAACAUAAGGAAGAUCGAAGUGGAUGCCAUGAAUCCAAGGGAAUGCCUUUACCAACAUUGCUAAAACAGUCCCAUUACUUCCACCAAAAUCAACCAAACUUUUAAUGCCAUCAAACACUUGAGGACAUUCUUCGAUUAUUGCUGGCACCGCCACUAUCUUCACAAGCCACUGCUUCGUCUAUGAGUUUGCUAUGUCCAGGGUUCUUCUCUGCAUAGCUCCAUACAUCCUUCCCGUUUGCUGUCUCAAACGGUGAAUUCCCACUGUCAAGGACACGAGCACUUAGACUAUGCCAUGGUGCUAACAUAACAGGGCUGCUCUCUAGUAGAAUCAAAGUCGCCAUGUCGAAUCAAUCGACGAGACAAAAGUGAGUGCAAAACCAGUGGAAUGUUGACUGAUGAGCUCCUCUUUGAAUAUUUUGGUAGUGGACCACGUUGGAAAUAUAUAGACAUCGAUAGCCUAUAAAUAUGUUAUCACACCAAAAAUAUAUUAAAUUGAAUUGGUGGUGUUUGCGUGCAAUUUACAUUGUAAUAUAUUACAGUUUACAACGAAACACUAGUACGUAUUCUAAGGACCGUACCCAAGAGAUUGCACAUAGGAGAAAUUAUUAUUAAAUUAAUUAUAGAAAAUAAUUAUUAAUCUAAUCAAGUCAAGAAUUAGUAGUGUGAAUCCAAAUUAAUAUUUUAAUUAAAAUAAUUAAAUUAAGUAACCUAGAUUAAUCUAAUGAACUUUCCUAUUCCUAGUGUCAACAAUAUGAGCAUCUGGCCUACGAUCCAUUAAAUCCCUAAUUAUCUAAUUAAAUAAUUAUAUUAUCCUAGAUUGAGUUAUUUAUCACCCUUAGCUAAGACUACCCUCCCGGUUUAUCUUCAUUAAGGAUUACCACCUAAGUUACCCUUUUAAUCUCUUCCUAGGCAUACAGAUACUCUUUCGGGCUCUCUUGUCUCGCGGUUUGAUCAUCAUCCCUUGUAUUCUUGGACCUUAAUUGAAAUCCUACACACUUAAUUAGUCCAUGAGUCACUCACGAGGCCUGAGUCGGCCUUCGGGUCAUCAAAAUGGUAGAAAAUGUGUAAAAACAUUUAUUUUAUUAAUAUUUUAUUUCUAACCUACUAAUAUUGAAAAUGUAAUACUUAAUUAUAAAAUGCCAAGAAGACAAGCUCAUUAAGUGUAGAAAUGACCUAAAAUAACUACUACAUUUGACAUCAGGUCAAAUACCCCACACUUAAGUGUUUGGUUGCCCGAGGGCAAACUAAACAAAAAUAAAAAUAGAAACAGAGAACAAAACAAACUAAAAUCAAGAAAUAAACAUGCAAAAGAUAAAAUGUACUCGAGCUAGUAUGAUACACAGAAUUGGACAGAAAUAUAUUAAUAAAAUAAUGUAAAUAAACUAUAAUUCUAGCAUGAUACACAAUUAACUCGUAAUUUCUAAAAUUAGACGAGUUAGUUCAUUAAAUUAUAAAUCAAACAAAUACAAGAAUAUUAAAUACAAGGUUCUAUCAAAACAGAUAUACAAAUAGACAAUUAUAUUCAAAUGAAUGUAAGUGGUAAAAACAUCAAAACUCAACACAAUUUCAUCCAUAUAAGGUACUAUGUAACAACUCGUUUUCCAGUGGUGUCAGAAACAGUGGUUUUGGGACCACAAUUUUGACAUGGCAGUCCGUAAAUAUUAAUUAUUUAAUAUUUACAAAUUCAUUUGUGUUGUAUUUAAUUUUGGUUAUAAAAUUUUAUUGUUUAGGUAGUUAAUUAACUCAAAAGGAUUAAUUCAAGUUGUUUACUAUUGAAUUAUCUUAACAAAAGUUCUAAAUAAUUAAAGUAGAGGGAUUUAUUUGAAAUUAGACCAUAACAUUUUUGUAUGGACGGUUUUCGGUUACAAAUGUUAAGUUUUACAUGGUUUAAUUAAGGGCAAUAUGGUAAACAAUUAAUUAAAACAUAAACAAAUAAAGAAAAAGAGCCAUGAAAGUAGCUUGAUUGUUUGGCAUUUAGUCUCUUGUAUGUAAGCUCGUUUUUAACCUGUUUCUUGUAAAUUUUAUCUUUUUGGAAUCGUUGUAACUUAAUCUAGCUAGUUCAGGGACUAAUUUGUGAUCUUGUCAAAUGUUUAGAAAUUUACCAUUGAUGAUUUUGAAUUUUUUUUUAUGUUAGUUGAUUUUUUGGAAGCUUGGUUGUUUGAAAUAAUUAAAUUGUAAAGUGAUUUUUAUAGUAAUUUUGAGUUAAGGGACUAAAUAAGUAAAAUAUUGAAGUUGACUUGGUUUUUUUGUGAAUUUUUGAAAUUUAAGGGUUGUAAUAAAAUGAAUAAAAAUUCAGUUACAUGGAUAUAGGAUUUAAUUGUAGGAAUAAGAUUGUUUGGUCUUAGGGACCAAAUUGUAUAAAAUGUAAAAGUUUGGGGCAAAUGUGUAAAAAAUUAUAAAUAAGAAGCCACAUGUAUUAAAUUGAAUAGUUUAUGAAAUUGAGUCUAAUAAUUGAAAUUAAAUUAUAUUUUAGAUCAAGAACAAGUUGAUAAAUGAGGAAAAGAAAAAGUUAUAGAAUAGUCCUUGAACUUUUAUUAUUUCUAUAAUUUAGACCUGUUAAGUUCGUACGGUUUUAUUUUGUAUAAUUUAAAUGUUAUAUUAUUUAUGAAUUGAAAUUGUUAAAUGUCCUGAAAGGGUUGAAUUGUAUUAAGUGAAUAUGAUUUGAGAAAGUAAAUAUCUUAAGCGUUGUUAUUCGAUAAGUAAUUGAAUCGAUAAAUGUAGGUCAGAAUACAAAUGGCAUGCCAAUAGGUUAUAUUGCACACUAUUCGAAAUUGAUUGGUGUUGAUAUGAUGAUUUCUGAUUUAUUCUUGUUUAUUGAAUAUACCGAAGUUCAGCAUUUGUUGCGAACUAUCGUGUUAUAUUACAGUGAUUCAGGUGUGUUUCCAGGGGAGAAUGUAAAACCUUCGAGCUUGGCACUUAGUGUCGAGGUGUGUUUCAAAGGGAUGUUAGCCUACAAAUUGACACUUGGUGCCCAGGUGUGUUCUCAGACGGUUAGCUCAUUUGAUCGUUUUGGAGUGAUCUAGAUGGUUAACCGCGUAUCCAAAUCCGUUAUAACGUUCAUUGGACAUACUUUCUAUGGUGUAAUGUAAUUGAUUGGAUUGUAUCAUUUGCAUUUAAGCAUAUAGCUCACCCGUGAUUUGAUUGUGGUUGAUAGGAUUUUGGUUUAUUUUAUGUAUUCUGUAAUAGAUAUGUGUAUUCGGUAAGUUUAUUAUUUUAACUGUUGAACUUACUAGGCUCUAUUAUCUUAUUUCCUUAUAGAUAGCAUUUAGUAGAAAUCAAGCGAUUGGAUCAACUUGAAGAAAUCACACUAUCCAGAAAUCUUUUGGUAGUUUUUGAAUGUUCACUUUUGGUUAUAUGGCAUGUAAUAGGUGAGUUAUAAUUAUGUUGGUUACUUGUUACUUGUGAGCUUGUUAAACUUGAAUAAUAUUUGGCUUUAGAUGGAUUUUAGUACAUAAGAGUAUGUUUUUGGUUUUGGUAUGUAUAUGUUUUGAGAAUUGUUUGAUAUAUUUUAUAUAAGUCAUAUGAAAGUGUUUGAAUGUGGCAAUUUGAAUUAUAAAUUUAAUGGAACGAUGAUUUUGGUAUGAGUUGUUAAAGGUGUUUGAGAACUUUGAAUGUGAUUACUUUGGUUGGAAAGGAGAUUUUGGUUUGGUAAUUGAAUUGUGGUGUUAAUAAGGACACAUUGGUUAGACACUUAGGAUGGAUAUUUUGACAUGUUUUAGGCUUGUUAAAUAUGUUUUUAAGAUAUUAAAUUGGUUGGUAUUAAUUUGGCUUGGUACCUAAGUUUUGGAUGAAAAUGUGCCUUAUUUUACAAACUUUUUAAGGUACACAAGGCCUGGGACACAGGUUGUCACACAACUGUGUGUCACACACGGCCUGAGACACGGGUUGUCAUACAGUCGUGUGUCAUACACGGCCUACUCACAUAGUCGUGUGCCUUCUUUGUUUUUAGUGCAGGUUGGUCCACACGGGCACAGAGAGUUACACGGCCUAGCGACACAACCGUGUGACCUUGAGCUACAAGGUCAUAGUGAGUUACGCGGCUUGUCCACACGGCUAUGUGACCUUAUGUUAUAUGAGCACAGUUAGUUACACGGUUUGCAUACACAGACGUGUGGAGUAGCCACAUGGUUUGGACUCUGUCACCCGACCUAAGCACACGGCCGUGUGACCCCUGUUUUAAAACAUUUUCAAAUUUUCCAUAUUUUUUGUUUUGUUUCAAAAUAGUCCCUGAUUGAUUCCAAACUAAUUUUAGGGCCCCGUAGGCUCGGUUUAAGGCCCAUACAUGUAUUUUAUGUCUUGAUUAAAAUGAAUUAUUGAAUGUUAUUUUAUAAUUUGUAUAAUUGUUUCUAAUUGAAAUUAAAUGUUUUGAAUUGUACUCUAAUACUCUGUAACCCUAAUCUGGCGAUGAAGAUGGGUUAAGGGUUUUACAUACUACCUAAGUCACAUAGGACUUUCGGCUUGUAAUGUUCUGCGACUUAGGUUAGUUAGGAAUUCAAAGAACAUGCUCGACAAAAUAACUAAACACGAAAGUAGUUUGGCACAUUGUAUUGUUCCCUAUACUCCCCCAAUAUUCGAAUAAUCUCACCACCUACUUCUUUCACCUUCCUUAUUUCUCUAUUACUAUGGUCCCGUAUAGUAUUCACGAGUACAAUCAUCUGAGCUCAUAAUUAAUAAAAAAUGUGACCGUACUUUUUUCCAACUCACUUUACUUUUAUUUUAUUUUAUUUUAUUUUCAAGAUUUUCUCGAUUUGACAUUUAGCUUUAUUUUCUACAAGCUCAAAAUCUUAUAUUCACUAUACCAUACAAUUCCUUAGUUCACUCAUUUUUUUCUCUUUUGAAACCACAGUGAUGUAUCUACCUAAUCCCUCAAUAUCAAUGGUUGGAUUUUUAAAUCUGUGCAAGGACCAAGGAAUUAUUUAUUAGGCUUAGGGUUUCGUUUCUGGUUCAUUAAGAAAAUGGAUUCGAGCUCAAGAUAGGUACUAAGGAAAAUAUUUGCGGGAUAACUUUUUCGCUCAAAAAUUUGUCUACCAAACAAUGCUUUAGGUUGUCCUUAGGCAAUUCUAUACACAAAUUAAAUCAGUCAAGUCUAUCAAUUUCUACACCUAUAAUUCAAUUAAACAUGCAUGCUAUUUAUAUACCUAUUUAUCAUGUGGUAUACUUAGCAUCUUAAAUCUAUUUGUAGUGUAAUAAAUUGAACUAAUUAGUCUAAAAUUAGAUAAUCUAGAAUAAAUUAUUAUCACACUAAAUUUAAAUUUUAUUCACAAAAUCUUAUUAACAUGCUCGUAACCAAUCACUUGUAUUUCUACAAGUUCGAGCACAAACAAAACACACACACAAAAAAUUUAACGACUAAAAAUAUAGUAAAACUAUAAAAAUAAUAGAAAAUUUUUUAAAAUUCUAUGUCAACCCCCCACACACUUUAUUUGGCACAUUAUCCCUCAUGUGCACCAAAAAUAAUAAGGAGACGAGAUUACCCGAUUAGCUUGAUAAGUGCAACGAAAUUGGUGGGUGAUGAUCACUAAACUAACUAAAAUUACGACAAAGGCAAGCACACCUAUCGAGUAAUAAUAAUAUAGCUAUGGUGAGUAAGGAAUAUUGUAUCCACGAGGACUAAAAGUACUCGUAAUUACUGUUUUUUCUAUUAUUUUGGCGUCAAAUUGAUAAAUUUUUUUAAAUCUAAAAUUAACUAAACUUAUUUACUCAGAACACAACAGAGAAUGACUUGGGAAAAUAAUCGAAUAUAACCAAUGAGAUAGACAAUACCCAGGAAAGAAUCCACCUAGACUUCACCUAUUAUUCUGCAUCUGAAUUAAAUGAUUUAUUCACUUGUGUCUUGAUCCGUAGAAAUCCCUAAAUUAUGUUAAUAUCUCUUUCGAGAGUAAAAACAACUGACUCUAGGUUGAUUAAUUGAAAUCUCUUUCUAAUUAAAACCCCUAUUGUCGCAUUAAUUCGAUCUAUGGAUUCCCCUAUUAGAUUUGACUCUAAUCCGGUAGAUUUAUGUCAUUUUUCUAGGAUUGCAUGCAACUCUACUCAAUUAUGUUAGAUCUACUCUUAAAUAGAGACUUUGCUCCACUGAAAUAAACACAUUAAACAUGAAUUAAUAUCCUGAAAAUAUUAUAACACAAAAUAAACAUAUAUAAUUGAGAACAAGAAUCAAGUAUUUAUCAUGUAAAUCAGAAAUCAAUUAAUAAGAUUCAUCAUAAGUUUCAUCUUCCCUAGGUAUCUAGGGAAUUUAGUUCAUAAUCAGGAAUGAAAUCAUCUCAAGGUUAGGAUAACAGCAAGAAAUAAAGAAACCCAAUAAAACUUUUAAGGAAAUUGAAUGGAGAUCUUUAAUCUUGAAGGAGAUCCUCUUCUGAGUUGAAUCAGGUGGGGUUCUUCGAGUAUUUUCUUUGUUCUUCUCUACGUGCUCCCUUAAGCCUUCUUCUAAUUGUUAUUUAUAGGCUUUAGAAUGUCCAGAAAGCCUAAAAAUUUGGUUUUUCCAUAUGUUUGGGAAACAGAGUGCGAAAUUGACACGAGCUGACACAUAGGCGUGUGGCCAGCCCGUGUAGCUCACACGGGCACUUGGCCAACCCGUGUGGAAAUGCUCAGGUCGUGUGGAUGCUGAAAACAACUCAUUUUGCUCAAUUUUGGCUUAUUUUUCGCUCAUUUCGCUCCCUUAUGCUCACCUAAGUACAGAAACAUGAAUUUAAAGGAUUAGGAGCAUCAAAUUCACUAAUUUACAUAGUAAAUCAUCCAAAAAUGCAUCAAGAAUGGGAUUAAAAACAAGUUACUUUUACGACUUAUCAGUGGGACUGGCUCCUUCUAGCAGUUUUGGCUCGAAAUUGUAGUGCCUAAAAAAAAUAGGGUCCCUACACAGGAAACAAAAACAACAGAUUUUUUUUCGAUAAAUAAAAUAAAAUAAAUAAAAUACACAAAGUGAAAAAAAUUAAAUCCUAUGUACUUCCCCCAUACUUUAGAACAAACAUUGUCCCGAUAUAAAAGAAUUAAAGUGCGAACAAGAAAACUUCCUUAAAAGUGCUGAUUGUUUGUUGUCUUAAAUAAAUAAAUAAAUAAAUAAAUAACUAUAGUUGGGUUUGUGGAGAGCGGAUAAUGGAAUCGCAUGGGUUGAUUGGACAAUUAGGGCACUGAAACGCUGCAUAGCAGUCAGCUCAUCACAACAGAAUCUGCUCCCCGUCGCAAUGUUGCAAUAAAUUUUAUGCUCCCCCAAGUCAUUUCGUCAAGGUAUUUUGUGACACCCUUCAAUAGUUUCUCGACUUCAAUCAUUUUCGUUGCGACUUGGAAUCUCGAUUUUUCAUGUCUUCGAUUACAAGUUAGCCCUUUCACAUUUGGAUGCGCUGCGGCUCAUCUUGACAUGUUUAUGGUGGUUGUCAGGAUGACAUAUUCUUGUUCGUCACGAUGACGUGAUUUGUUGAUGGACUUGUUCGAUUGGCUCCUCAUAACGUGUUGCGCCAUAGGGGGUGCAUGGCGUGAAAUGACUUGGAAGUUCCCUAAACUCGUCUUUUUGUCUUUCUGAAGCAUGUUGGACUUCUUAGUUUGUGCUUAAUCACCUUAAUCCACCUUAUGAAAUCCACAACUACUGUGAGAAGCAACUAACACACAUAAUUAAAUACUUUAAAUACAAAAAAACAAACAUCAAAAAAUAAAAUUUAAAAUUAAACAAAAAUUAAAAGAGAAGUCCUUUUUUGGAGUCAGGACGAUUCGUAUCGCCCCCAAAGAAGAACUUUUAACUAGUCCUCGACUCUUUGAUCCGCUGCUUGUUCCACCGUUGAUAAAUCUCAACCAAGACUCUCAGUUGAUUCCAAUGAUAUUGCCUUAUCUUUGAUCGGCACGACAUCCACAUCAUGAGUCACUUGGUGCCGAAUUCAAACCAACCCCAAAUUGUCUUUCGAGGUAUUUUGGCUCGAGCUUCCUUCCCUCCUUGUCGCGAGAAGCUUUGGUUGCCGAAGCUUUAUCUUCACCAUCGAAUGAGAAUAAGAUAAACUUGUCGACUUCUUCGGCUGAUACCUCCUUGGUUAUGGCCAAAAAGUGUAUCGGCUCGAAUACAUUUUCAUUCAGAAUCAAUUGAAGCUCCUUUACCUCUUACUCUACCGCUACAUCUAUUACUACAUCUACGUUAAUUGGAUUGGAGACAACUUCAGUGAUAUUCAAUUUGUUUCCGUGUCCAGAUCCAAACUCUUGUUGACUUUCAAGAUUUAAUUCUUGAUGUUUAUCAGUGGUACGUUGGUCAUUCGGAUCAGAGUUGUAGACAUCAUGUACGACCUCUUCUAUUGAAGCCUUUAGUUUGUAAGUUCGUUGAAGUUGCUAGAUCAUAAACGACAUCAUAUCCUCCAAUCGUUUGGCUUUCUUAUCCAAUUUUUUGAAACAUGCGGAAAAAGUUUGCUCCAUUACUUCACACAACAAUGUUUCAUGUGAAUUUUCAGAGAAAUUAGGAACGUCAUACAUGACCUCUAAUUGAUCCAACUGUUUUUGGAUUCUCUUUGAUUUAGCUUGGAAUUCUCGCUCACAAUUUUCUUGUCCAAACGUAUAGUUAUACAAAUCACAAGGAGUUUCAGCUAGAUACUCGGAUGUCCCUAAAGGUUGCUCAUGUAUCUCUUCCAUCAUUUCAUUUCUUCAUUGAAGCAGUCCUUGCAUAAGCGAUCUUUGGUUCUCCAUGAUCUCCCAUUGAUCGUAUGCUACGUCUUCAUCCCAUAGGUUCGUCAAAUCUCCAUUCCUGCAGUACGUAUACUGCUCGGCUUUGGUGGGAGUUCAUUCGAACACUCAAGUCGCUCGUCUUUGUAAUCACAACUCCAUUGGUUUGUUCGUACACUGACCUAUAAAAAUUAAUAUUCAUAAUUAAAUCUGAUAAUCAACAAGGUAAAUAAAAAAUAUUAGAAUAAAAAUAUUUACUUAACGAAAAAAAGUCAAAAUAACUUUUUUUACACUAAAAUUAAAUUAAAUUAAAUAAAUAAAAGUUAGAACAUUAUCUAGCUUGUUUGUCUUUCGAUUAAUAUUAUUUUACAGUAAUUAAUCUAACAAAAAAUUCACCGUUGCAAUCCCCGACAACGGCACCAACAACUUGACCGCAUAUAAACAUGUUAUCCUUUAUAGUAAAAUAUCACACCAAAAAUAUAUUAAUUAAAUAUGCGGUGUCUGCAAGCGUAUGGUUCAAAUUGUAAUAGAGUAAAGUUUACAAUGAAACACUAGUAAGUAUUCCGAGGAUCGUACCCAAGGGAUUGCAGAUUAGAGAAAUUAUUAUUAAAUUAAUUAUAAAAAAUAAUUACUAAUCUAAUUGAGUCACGAAUUAGUAGUGUGGAUCCAAAUUAAUAUUUUAAUGAAACUAAUUAAAUUAACUAACCUAGAUUAACCUAGUUAACUUUCUUAUUCCUAAUAUCGACAAUGUGAGCCUUUAGCCUAUGAUCGAUUAAAUCUCUAAUUAUCUAAUUAAAUAAUUAAUUAUCCUAAAUUGUGUUAUUUAUCACUCUUAGCUAAGACUACCCUCCCGGUUCAUCUUCACUAAGGAUUACCACCUAAGUCACAAUUUUUAGUCUCUUCCUAGGCAUACAGAUACUCUUUUGGUCUCUCCGCUUGGCACAAGUUAUACACGACAAGAUACCCUUCUAGUCUCACUUGUCUCGAUAUUCUAUCAGGGGUGUCACUCAUUAAUAUACUAAGUACUAUUGAAUAAAUAACCAAUUUUGGAUAAAUAAUCAUUUAUCAAAUAAAUUAGUUUAUUAAUCGAAUCAUGCGAGAUAUAAAUAAAGUACAAUAACUUAUUUGAAUAUUUAUACAAUGACCAAUUAACCAAAUUAAUAGAAGAUAAAUAAACGAAAAGAAGAGAAGAGAUAAAAGAAUUCCCAUGAAUAUAUAUUGAUGUAUGGAUCCGGAGCAAUCUCCGCUCGCGAUUGUCUUUAUAUUGGAAUAGAAAAAUUUCGACCACAAGAACAUAAAAAGAAAACUAAAAACUGAAUAGUAAAAUUGUCUAUCUAAGUCUGCACACAAUUCUGAUAAACCUAAGGUUGCUUAUAUAAGCAUCGGGCUACUUAGUGACCACUCAACCUUAGAUAUAAUUAGAUACCAAUAAAUGUAAUAUUUUGAUAAAUGUUAGGGUCCAAAUAUGGAAAUAUCCCCACAAGUGUCGUCCAAUGAAUUAAUUUCAUUUUGGCUUGCCAUCGUCGUGUCAUCGUGACGUGGGAAGUCUCCUCGUCACGACGUCGCCACCAUGAAUGGUCUCCCAUAUUCAUCACGUCGUCGUGACGAGAGGAAGCUCCUUGUCACGACAUCGAGUGUAUUCCGAGCCUUGGCAACCUUGUUGUGCUAUCAGACUCCCUUGUAUUCUUGGACCUGAAUUAGCAUCCUACACACUUAAUUAGCUCAUGAGUCACUCAUGAGGCCCGAGUCGGCCUUACGGGUCAUCGAUAUAGCAGAAAAUGUGUAAAAAUGAUGAUUAUUUUAUUAAUAAUUUAUUUCUAAUCUACUAAUACUAAAAAUGCAAUACUUAAUUAUAAAAUGCGAAGAAAAGAAGUUCAUUUAAGUGUAGAAAUGACCUAAAAUAACUAUUACAUUUGACGUUAGGAUAGACAUCACAUAUAUAACAAUCAUAAUUAAAUGUUAUUAUUUACUAUCUUAAAAGGUUAGCCCAAACUAAAAGUGAUCUAAUUUGGUUAAUGUUUAUUAAGUUUUAUUUAUUAAAUAAAGUAUGAGUUAAAUAUGUGUAGAUAGUCUAGUAACUAAUUUUUAAUUAAUGAUGGGUUAAUUAGAAAUUAGGUUACUAUGUAAAAUAUAUUAGGGUUAUGGUCCCCAAAUUAUACAUACGUAACUUUUCUAAUAUCUCAUUUUUAGAAAAGAGGAGCCACAUACUCUGAAUUACUUGUGUGCUAAUUUGGAAUAUUAAAACCAUAAGAUCUAAAGAUUUUAAGGAAUCGAUGAAUUCAGGUACACUUCUGCAUCUAAUUUUAUUCUUGAUGAAUUUGACAUGAUAGAUCCUAAUUAAUUAAAUAUUAAAUUAGAUCUUGUUUUACAGUACUAACAAACCAAGAUGAAGACGAAACAAUUCACAUUUAAGGGCAAUUGUUAGGUGAGAGAGUGUCAUGGGGCUUUCAUGCUUGUUCCUUUCCUAUCACUUUUAUAUUUUCAUAGAAACCCCACAGUUAACUACUGCCAUCAUAGCAUAUCCAAAUGCAUAAUUCCAAAUAUCUAUAUUUUUAUUUUAUUUUUCUUUAUCAUGUUGUUCCUUUCCUAUCACUUUUAUAUUUUCCUUCUCUUUGGAAACAAUACCCAAAUCUUAAUGUUGAAAGCUCCACCAUAUAGGAGCAAAGAGUAGCCUAUUUGUGAAUUUUUAAAGAAAAGGCCAAUGAGUAGGGAUCACUUACUUUUUCUUAUGUAUAAUAUAUAAAGAAUUGUUUUGUGAUGAUCACACCAUUCGCGUUGGAAUACCUGGUUUGUACCUUGCCCACUAUGUUUUGCUCAAGCUUCUUUCCUAUUAUAAUAAUAAUUGUUUUAAUAAUUAAAUAUUACGAUAAUAAAAAAUUUUAAAGUAUAAUUAAAAUUUUAAGGGAAAUAAUAAUGAGUACAUAAUUGUUUUAAUAAUGCCCACUAUGUCCUAUGACCCCAACCCAACUAAAUACUUAAAAAUAAUAUAAAUACAUAAUUAAAAUAUAUAAAUUACUUUUUUUUCUAAAUAUAUACUAUCAAUUAUUUGGAUAGUUCAAAUAUUAUAACCAUAAAUAAUUUUAAUCAAAUUUAAAGUAUUCAUAUAAUAUUAAAAUAGAUGUAUUAUAAAUUAUUUUAUUAUAAAAACAUAUUAACCAAACUAUAAAUUUAUAUUAUAAACAUAUUAAAAUAGAUGUAUUAUAAAUUAUGCCAAAAUUUAUUAACUAAACUAUAAAGUUGAGGGCUAAAAAUGAAAUUAUGCCAAAAUUUUAUAAGCGAAUAAGCGUUUUAUAACAUUAUUAUCUUUUUUUAUAUUGGAUGUAUUUUCUAAUGAUUUUCAUUAUAAAUAUUAAUAAAAUUGAAAAUUUGAAUGCCAAAAUUUAUCACUGAAAAUUUGAAUGUUUUUUUUAAUAAAAUAAUAAAUUAUCAAUAUGUUUUUAUAAUAAAAUAAUUUAUAAUACAUCUAGUUUAAUAUUAUAUGAAUACUUUAAAUUUGAUUAAAAUUAUUUAUGGUUAUAAUAUUUGAACUAUCCAAAUAAUUGAUAGUAUAUAUUUAGAAAAAAAAGUAAUUUAUAUAUUUUAAUUAUGUAUUUAUAUUAUUUUUAAGUAUUUAAUUGAGUUGGUGUCAUAGGACAUAGUGGGUAUUAUUAAAACAAUUAUGUACUCAUUAUUAUUUCCCUUAAAAUUUUAAUUAUACUUUAAAAUUUUUUAUUAUCGUAAUAUUUAAUUAUUAAAACAAUUAUUAUUAUAAUAGGAAAGAAGCUUGAGCAAAACAUAGUGGGUAAGUCCAACGUGAAUGGUGUGAUCAUCACAAAACAAUCAUAUAGCCUUUUCUUACUUUUUCUUACAUUUUGAACUGGAUUUGAAAAAUUCUAAUACAAGCACAAAACAGAAAUUUAAACCACGCGAUGCUCCGAUAUCUACACAUGUUCCAAAAUAAAGGAUUUCAUGCUCACGCAAGGCUUUGGAGGUUCUGGCUUAGUUCCUUAAUUUCCUACGAACAACAAUUUGGAAUUAUCUAAAAUGAGGAAAAGAAAUAUGGUAAGUUCAUAAGGAACUUAGGGUGAGUUUGGAUGGGCAAUGCGUUUACCUGAGGUUAGUGUAAAAAUAGCGGUAGCGGUGAAAUUAGAUACUAUUACAAUACUGUAACAUGAGACAAAAAGUAAGCUAGACACACUGCACCGCACCCAAUCACCCCUCCAAACCCACCCUUAGUGAGUUCUAAAUUAAGUUACUUCAAUUUUAGGAUUCGACACAGAUCUUUCUUAGUGAAAACUUCUGAGAUGAUAUUCCACAACUUAUAAUUGAGCAUGAACCACAUAAUGGCGCAGUACAAUAUGCAUGAGAAAUCCACCUGUGAAAGAUCGUGAGGCAUAUAGUCUCUUCGUACAGACUUGUUGCAUAAAAUCUUAAUAUAAACCCACUGAAUGGAAAGAAAGUCAUUUUGGAUUAACUUGAUGGGCAAUCUUGCCUACUCUUAUAUACAGACUCAUACACGCGAACUCAUAGAAAAGAUUCAUGGAUACAACGGCUUAUACAUGCGAAUUCAUAGAAGAGAAUUCACAAUAUGGCGAACUCAAACAUGCAUACUCGUAUAGAAAGAUUCAUGAAUAUAGCAGUCUAUUCAUGCGAAUUCAUAAAAGAAACUUCAUAGAUAAAGCAAAUUUAAACAUGUGGAUUCAGAGAACUUCACAAUUAUAGUGAAUUCGUACAAGCAGACUUUUUCGCAGAGUUUCUUUGGCAAAAUCUAACAUAUAAUUUUAACUUAAAACUUAUCAAUUAAAUCUGCCAGACUUUCAUAACUUUCAUAUGCCAUGGCCAUGGACUUGUUUACACAUGUGAGGCUUAAAAGCAUUUGACUCCAUAGAGUCUCAUACGUACAUAGAACCCACAUUAGGUUAUCAAAUUCAUUUGUGCAUACAUUUCCGUACAAUCCAUCCAAACCUUCGCAAAGCCGAAAACCAUACAUAUACAUUCUUUGUACUAUCCACCCGAACUCCGCAAAGCCAGAUAGCAAGUGGCACAAAGUGCACUGUGUGAUAUUUCUUCACCUUUCAUCUGCCAAAAUAGACCUCCACACUUCGCAUAUUAUUCAUAAUUAUGAUAGGCAUAUAGCAAGCAUUCAACUAAUCAUUUUAUUGAAAACACAACAUAUCAUACCAAACAUAACAUCUAGUAGACCAUAACAAUUAUAACUUCAUCAAUAAUUAUUUUUCCCAGUGAAAGUUUAUCAAACAAUGAACUGGAAAGUAUAAUCGAACAUGCAACCAUAAAAAAAUACUUUAUAUAAACUAUCCACGAUAAUACAACUCAUCAUCAACAGAACAUGAAGUCGACCACAACAUGAAGUCAACCACAACAUGAAAACACAAUACUGUUAUAUAUAUAUGUAACAACCACAGAGAGUUAAAGUUUAGAAACCCCCCAACAAAAUACCUAGGUUGACACAACUUACACUUGCUUAGCCUUCCCUUUAUCACUUGAACUUCCUCUUUCUUGGUUGGAAGAUUACUAAGUUUUCAAGUAUUUAUGCUAACACCUUAGAUUUUUCCUUUCAUGCAACUCGUUUCUUAGUUUUCCUCUCUUAGAAAAUGAACUAGAGAAGAAGACGAUAGAAGAACGAGAGAAAAAUGAAUAUCAACAUUAAGAAUCCUUCUUAUAUAUAGUCUUUCCACCACUGCUUCCCUUAAUCCCAAGUCGGUCAAUAGUAUUAAUACCCUUAAUCAUAAUGUUUUCCACUAACAUAAACUCUUAGUUCUAGCUUGACAGGACUAAAUUUAAAAUCUAAGUAUUUACCCAACCAGCCCGUAAGAUUCACAUAAUUACACUAGAACUCGCUUAAAUAGAAAAUUUUCUAAUUAAGUACUCAUAAUUUCAAUUAUGCCAAACCUUUAAUAUUUAUGGUUGUGACAAUUAUACUAAGUUGGAUAAGAUCAGUUGGACCAGGAAUCGGUCGGGGUUUCGAUCAAGUAAAAGGUAAAAAAAUUAGUUGAUCCGUGAACCAUUAUAGAUUUGUUGAGUUGGGCUAAAAAACUAGUUGAACUAGAAAUUGAAUCGGUUUUUUUAAUUUUUAUAUCUUUUUUAUAAUUUAUUUACUUUUAGCCAGUUAGACCGAUUAUUUUGGGAACCGAUUGGUCAAACUAGUUUGAAAUCAGUUCAAUUGCUAGUUCAAUCGAUUUUUUUUAGCUCGGUUUAACUAGUUUGUAUCAGUUCACAGGUCAACUAAUUUUUUACCUCUCACUGAAUCGAUACCCCAAUUAGUUCUAGGUCCAAUUGGUUUGAUUGGUCGAUCUGGUCUGGUUUAGGUAACAUUGAAUUUUAGAUUUUUUAUAUUUUAAAAUCAUUUUUUAAUUUAUAGAGUUUUUAUUUUAAAAAUAUAUAUAAUUUUAAAUUUUUUAUGGUUUUUUAAAUGUGAAACAAUAAUUUUUAAAUUUUUUAUGUAAAUUUAAAGGGUAAGGACUAAAUUGACAAAAACUGUAAAUAUUGAGGGCUAAAAUAAUUAGUUUACCUUUAAAGUCAUUAACUUUAAUGAAAAAUUUAGCCUGAGGGGCCAGGAUUUUUAAAUAAAAAAGUAUAGGAACUCAAUUUCUCAAAAUUAAAGUAUAGGCACUAAACUUUAAAUUUCAAAAGAGUACUUGGACCUUUUACAUAUUUAAACCUAAAAUGAUUUUUGUAAUAAAUUGAAAAAUAUAAAAGUAUUAAAUAAUGGUUUGGUUGAAGAGGUAUUAAAAUAAUGGUUUGGUUGAAGAGGUAAAGGAAAAAAAAAGAUAUUGGUGGCAUGGGUUAAAAUAUUAACAUUUGCAACAUUUUUAUUAGUUUUUUUAAUAAGAAAAAGAAAAAAGUACCAUCAUAAUAAUAUAACUUAUUUAAAAUAUUAGUGUUUAGUUAUUUUUUUAGUUAUAUUUUUACUAAAUUAGUUUCUAGUUAAGUCGUUACACCAACUCGUUUAGUAUCAACUAGUGUUGUUUGAAUCGGACCAGACCGACAGGGAGACCUGUUUAGAAAGUGCUUUGAACUGGUUAGACUAAGAAACAGUAUAAAUUGAUUGAACCGGCUAAAAAGGUGGUUGAACCGACGGUUGGUUUGAUAAAUUUGACUGCAGGUCAGGGUUAAAAAACAUUGAUACUGAUAUCAUUGUCAAAUCAUGAAUACCUUAAUUCGAGAGUGUUGAUUAAAAGUUAGAAGGGAAUAUAAAUACUAUGUUUCUUUAGCUUCUUAUUUGUCUCUUUAUUUGGGGGGAGCGGGGACAUUAGAGAAUUAUAUAAAGAUUGAAGUCAAUUAAAGGGAACAACCAGUGCAAGCCAAACUAGUAAUUAACAGAAGGAAAAACAAAAUUACAUAUUUCCCACAACAGAUCUCAUAUGGUUUGGCCAAUAAAAGACCCGACAGGAUUCAAGGUUUAAUAGUAAAAGAAGCCAUUUAUUAACCCAAAGUUAAAAGAAGCAGGCAAGGUGGAAUUUCUAAAUAUAAGCUUCAAUGAUAGAUUGAACAGCAUGAAUAGGUUUUACAUUGAUUCUGGUGAAUCCAGCCUCUCCAAGAACAUACUUCCAUUCCUUUAAGGUCCUUUCUUUGCCUUUGUUAGUAUGUGCCAUCAUCACCAU